rnacentral:lncRNA from 1 species
AGGAUGCUGGGCUGGAUGGGCAGUUGCUGUGUUACAGCGUGCCACAUCCUCUGCUUCUCCAAACACACUGGAAAAUGACCUAAGACCACCUGCAACACUCAUCACAUGAGCUCUUCUGAUGCUCCCACAAGAGAAGCAGAUGUCUGCAAGUGAAUACUCAGGAUGCAGCCAACCGAAACAAGUUUUAACAUUACGUGAAAGUUGAUCUUUCUAGGGAAGGGGGAAAAGGUAAAGGACUGUGGACCUGUAUUAAAUGCUUGCUUUUUGACAACUCUUCCCUCCAAUGGAAGCAGUUAAACACAUUCAGAGGAAUUCUGCUGUUAAGGACUGUUGGCCUGAGGAUUCAAAUCUUGGUGAUCGUUUAAUUUUUCACAGACAAAUCUCACACAGUCUGGCUUGAUAAAUCAAGGACGAUUACUUCAAAGAUAGAAAAUGUAAUUUUGCAUUAAAAGCCUCAAAGUACAACCCAGGUUAAUAAACCCAGUAGAUAAUAUUUACAUCUUAAAGAAAAGACUCCAAAUUUUUUCUAGCCACCGCAUCCCCUGUGUUCCAAAUUGUUGUCUUGUUAAUUUUCCAGCUGAUGGGCAGAGUAAAACUGAGAGAGGAGACUUCAUUUGUCUCCACUCGUUGUUGAGGGGUCCUCAGAUGGGGCACCUGCUGUUUAUUCACUCCUAUUGGGUUUCAACAUUCCAAUCACAUAGCAAUGCUAGGACUUGAAGUUCCUUUCAGAUUAUAUUCCAUGUUGUACAAUAAACCCUCAACUUCAACAGGAAAAUUCUUUCCAGUUACCAGGUAGAGCACUGGCUACAAUUAAGAAUCUUUGGGGAAUGACUUAAUGAAGACAUCCUAACCAGAUGCUGCUCUCUUCAUUAAAUGAAGCUUUGAAAAGGAUGAAGCACUUGAAAAGCUAGGAUUAUCUUUUACAUGAUUGUCUAUGGCAUACAAAACUACAUUUGCAUCUCUGCCUGUUUCUAGCCUAAAGAAAAUUCAAAACAACUAACAUUAAAUCUUCAAAUUGUGUUAUAUCUUCCUUCAAUUAAAGUUCAUUGA